rnacentral:rRNA from 1 species
AUUGAACGCUGGCGGCAGGCCUAACACAUGCAAGUCGAGCGAGCGGCGGACGGGUGAGUAAUGUCUGGGAAACUGCCUGAUGGAGGGGGAUAACUACUGGAAACGGUAGCUAAUACCGCAUACCAUCAGAUGUGCCCAGAUGGGAUUAGCUAGUGGGGGGGGUAACGGCGCACCUAGGCGACGAUCCCUGGCUGGUCUGAGAGGAUGACCAGCAACACGGGAACUGAGACACGGUACAGACUCCUACGGGAGGCAGCAGUGGGGAAUAUUGCACAAUGGGCGCAAGCCUGAUGCAGCAAUGCCGCGUGUGUGAAGAAGGCCUUCGGGGUGUAAAGCACUUGCAGUGGGGAGGCGUUACCCGCAGAAGAAGCACCGGCUAACUCCGUGCCAGCCGCCGCGGUAAUUC